ACGCUCGACACCUACGGAGCAGCAGUGGGGAAUAUUGCACAAUGGGGGAAACCCUGAUGCAGCGACGCCGCGUGAGCGAAGAAGUAUUUCGGUAUGUAAAGCUCUAUCAGCAGGGAAGAAAAUGACGGUACCUGACUAAGAAGCACCGGCUAAAUACGUGCCAGCAGCCGCGGUAAUCUGAGCGGGCUGGCAAGGC
rnacentral:rRNA from 1 species